AAUUUUAAGGUCAAGCUACAAAGGGCGCAUGGUGAAUGCCUUGGCACUAGGAGCCGAAGAAGGACGCGAUAAGCUGCGAUAAGCCUUGGGUAGCCGCAAAUAGGCUGAGAUCCAGGGAUUUCCGAAUGAGGAAACUCACAUGGGUAACCCCAUGUAUCAUGCACUGAAUACAUAGGUGUAUGAGGGUAAACCCGGGGAACUGAAACAUCUAAGUACCCGGAGGAAGAGAAAGAAAAAUCGAUUUCCUAAGUAGCGGCGAGCGAACGGGAAAGAGCCCAAACCAGAAACUUGUUUCUGGGGUUGCGGAUAGAUCAUAAAAGAAGAGGUAUCUUAAUCGAAGAGGGCUGGAACGCCCUACCAUAGAAGGUAAUAGUCCUGUAGAUAAAAAGAGAAAACUUUAAGAUCUAAUCCAGAGUACCACGAGACACGUGAAACCUUGUGGGAAGCAGGGAGGACCACCUCCCAAGGCUAAAUACUACCUAGUGACCGAUAGUGAAGCAGUACCGUGAGGGAAAGGUGAAAAGAACCCCGGAAGGGGAGUGAAAUAGAACCUGAAACCGUGUGCCUACAACCGAUCGGAGCACGUUAAAGUGUGACGAUGUGCUUUUUGUAGAACGAGCCAGCGAGUUACGCUAUGUAGCAAGG
rnacentral:rRNA from 1 species